rnacentral:rRNA from 1 species
GACGAACGCUGGCGGCGUGCUUAACACAUGCAAGUCGAGGGGGCCCAGCAAUGGGUCACCGGCGAACGGGUGCGUAACACGUGAGCGACCUACCCCGGUAUGGGGGAUAGCCGGCCCAACGGCCGGGUAAUACCGCACACGCUCUUCGGGUUUCAUGGCCUGGAGAGGAAACUUUUCUGGUACUGGGAGGGGCUCGCGGCCUAUCAGCUAGUUGGCGGGGUAACGGCCCACCAAGGCGAUGACGGGUAGCNGGUCUGAGAGGAUGGCCAGCCACAUUGGGACUGAGAAACGGCCCAGACUCCUACGGGAGGCAGCAGUGGGGAAUCUUGCGCAAUGGCCGAAAGGCUGACGCAGCGACGCCGCGUGGAGGAUGACGCCUCGGGU